ACUCCUACGGGAGGCAGCAGUGGGGAAUAUUGCACAAUGGGGGAAACCCUGAUGCAGCGACGCCGCGUGGAGGAAGAAGGUCUUCGGAUUGUAAACUCCUGUUGCUGGGGAAGAUAAUGACGGUACCCAACAAGGAAGUGACGGCUAACUACGUGCCAGCAGCCGCGGUAAAACGUAGGUCACAAGCGUUGUCCGGAAUUACUGGGUGUAAAGGGAGCGCAGGCGGGAAGACAAGUUGGAAGUGAAAUCUAUGGGCUCAACCCAUAAACUGCUUUCAAAACUGUUUUUCUUGAGUAGUGCAGAGGUAGGCGGAAUUCCCGGUGUAGCGGUGGAAUGCGUAGAUAUCGGGAGGAACACCAGUGGCGAAGGCGGCCUACUGGGCACCAACUGACGCUGAGGCUCGAAAGUGUGGGUAGCAAACAGGAUUAGAUACCCUGGUAGUCCACACCGUAAACCACGAUAGGAGGUGUUGGAGGAUUGACCCCUUCAGUGCCGCAG
rnacentral:rRNA from 1 species